rnacentral:rRNA from 1 species
UACGAAGGGGGCUAGCGUUGUUCGGAAUUACUGGGCGUAAAGCGCACGUAGGCGGAUAUUUAAGUCAGGGGUGAAAUCCCAGAGCUCAACUCUGGAACUGCCUUUGAUACUGGGUAUCUUGAGUAUGGAAGAGGUAAGUGGAAUUGCGAGUGUAGAGGUGAAAUUCGUAGAUAUUCGCAGGAACACCAGUGGCGAAGGCGGCUUACUGGUCCAUAACUGACGACUGAGGUGGCGAAAGCGUGGGGAGCAAACAGG